rnacentral:lncRNA from 1 species
UGCCCUCAGCCACCAAGUCCUUUGGAUAUUCUGAUACGGUUCUACUUGGUAGCAAUGACUUGCUUUCGAGACAGCGUGCAACAUCUUCACCACUUAACUCAAAAGAUACUCUGUGAUCAACUAUCGUUUCAUCAUUUUUAGGUCCAUUUGCUUGGUUAGUAAGCAAUGCUACCUCAGAAAUCUGACUCCCUAUAAGAAAACCAUCUCGUGAGGGAGGACCCAAACCAUCAGGUGUCAAUGAUCCCGAACCCAACCUCGAACCCAACCCCAUACCGUCUGGAGUCACAGAUCCAGAACCCAGUCUUGAACCUCGCCCCAGUCCAUCUGGCGUCAAUGAUCCAGAACCUAGCCUUGAACACCAUUUGCGAGUGGUUAAAUUUUCAAAGCCUAAAAGUUUGGGAGCCUCCCCCAUGUGGAACUCAAGGAUUGGACGUCUAUCAGGGAAAGGAGAGGAUGUGCCAGAAUUAGAGAUUGCUGACCCAGGUGAUCUGAGGUUACCACCAGGGCUCCCAGGGUAUAUUUGAUAAGACUGAAACUCAUAAUGGGAUAAUCCAAAUUUCUAAUUGAUCCCACCGUUUCUCCGAGCACGCUCCAAUGAAGAUGCCAGCAAUUGAGCAAAUGGUACUUCAGGGGAUGAAGGUGUUGUCAGUUGAAUAGAUUCAGGAGGAGGUGUAAAAGGAGCAGUGGAUGGUUCAGGUGCCAAGGCAGAGAAUACAGGUGGUGUAACUAACUGGGUUUCAUGUGCAUAAGGGCCUAUGGCAAAAAUGGAUGCAGGGCCACGGGGGGAGUACGCAUUAACAGAAAGGGGAGUUAGGGACAGCAAUCCAGCUAGUGAUUGGGUGGCAGAUGGAGGAUCCGACUGGAGGAAUGAUGCAGGAGAUGAGGGAGGGGCAAUAAAGGGCAGUAUAAUGCCAGUUGGAUUACUUACAUUUUCAGCAGUUGAGACUGAAGCUCUGUUAGAUAUUAAUGCCUGCAUCCCCAAGACAAAUGUCCUUUUUGUAGUAAUACACUUUGCUUCGCUGUCCUGGUACCAAUGUAAGCUAACUAUGCUGUCUUGGUGUCACAUACGUGUUGCCUUGUUAAGGUCACGGUAGCCAUAUGCCUGACACUUGUUAAUACUAGGAACAGGCGUGAUGUAUGACACAGCAGUAUAUAAUCUUGUAAUCAAACCGUUUUAUAUAUGACACAUAUAUAUCUCAGUUUCAAUAGUCUGAACAGAGGCUUUAUGAAUUUCCUGAAAGAGUUUAUCGUGCUUGUUUUCAUCGCUCCUGGUACCACGGGUUCAGGAACAAGGACAGCAUGGCCAAUUCGCUUACUGUUUUUCUGAGAUCCAAAACACCAGUAAAGGCCCCAGCAGCUUCCCCAUUUUUUUUUCUGUAUUUAAAUGAAAGACUGUGAAUCAGUAUUUUGUACGGAAAAUAAGUUUUUCAUCCUCAAAUAUUCCACAUAAGGCAGUGAGCAAUAUAGGUACAUUCAUUUCAACUCUCAGCCCCCAUAACAAUAUGGGAGCGAAAGAUUAAUGAAGAGCAAGAUGAACACAAUCUUCAGUCUCUACACCUCCCUCAACCAAUGUAUUAUAGCAAUCAUGAAAAAUUCAAUUUGAAAAUUUAAGCUACCCAAAAUUAAACAUCUGCUUUCAUGCUGCUGAGUGCUGACAUUUUGGAGAACACCAUGUGCAUCAUGCUUUAUCAACACAAAAUUUUUCAAGUCUGAAAAUAAAUAUAUAGUCAAGCAAGAUUGCACUUAUAAAAAUAUGGUUUAUCAGACUCUAAAAUAGCAUCUCCCUCUGCCCAAACAUGAUACUGAGUACAUCAGGAUGACUAACUCCCACAUAUAAAGUUGAUAAAUUUUUCUCUGCCUGGUAGUUGCUGUAUGUUUAUUAAACUCUGGUUUUCCAUGUUCUUGGCUAAUUUCUUGUGUACAUACAUGAAAAAAAAGUUCAAGCACACUAGCAAACUUCACAUGCAAGCAGCAGAAACAAGUCUCAACAUCAUAAGAAUAGCACUAGCACAACAUUGAUCAUGAAUGCCUUUUUGACAUACAAUGGCAAUACACACAUACAUACAUACAUACUUAUGACUUUAAGGAAUAACUAGUUUUGAUUACUCUUUAAGAAUUCUAAGGAAGACUACACAUUAGAAUGCAAAUUACACAGUUUUUGAAAAUUACUUUUAAAUGCAAAACUACAAGACGGAUCAACUAUUUUGGCUAAUUAAACUUCGUUCUUCCCUGAAGAUGUUUCUAUAGGCAUCUCAAUAAAAUGGCAAAUAUACCAAGAAAAACCUGCAAACCAUUCAUAUCAAAUGACCAAUUAAGUUCCAUUUCUUUUAUAUUGUGUUUGUCAAAUCUCCUUAUUUUUCCACCACAACCUAAUAUCUCUUUUUAAAAAAAUUGCUGCAAUACACUCUAGCCUGAUAUCAGCAAAUUCUUCGACAAAAGACACUAAAAUGAACAGAAAAGCUGCCCCCACCCAAAGCAGGAAUGAGUUGCAGAAAACAGACAAAGAGGCAUAAUACCGAAAAUUUUACUGUUUUAAUUUUUAAAAAAAGAAGAAAAAAGGAAUAGUUAAACUUGCUAUACUCAAAUCUGCACUUUAGAAGUACGUAUAUAAAACGAUGUUUUUUUCUUUUCUACUUUUCUUUUUCUUUGAUAAGUCGAAUUCCACUGUUAAGAGGAUUUUUUUUUUAUGCCUAUUCCUGAUGCAAAACCAAAAAGUAAAAGCAGAACCUUAACUGAGCCUAGCUCAGCUAAUUGACUUGCUUGCCAAGAAUAAAACAAAUUAAAACUCAAGAAUAGGCAUAAGCAAAGAGAUCAACAUUCCUACAACAACUAGAUUCCACAGCUUCCUUUUCCAUCUUUCUGAACAAUUUGAAUUCCUUGACUCCCAGGGACCAUCCAGGAAGCCAUGAAUCUCAGUCUCACCCUGGUUUGAAUUUACACGGUUUCUAAGAGUGUCAUGAUGAGCCAAGUUCACACUGCCAUUCCCAUAGGGGGAGGUUAGCACAUUUUUAAUUUCCAAUCCAGGGUGUCGUCCUUGAGAGCAUGAUGAUGCCAAACGUGGAAUUGUGCCUGGUGAAAAAUGGUGAGAACUUACACUAUCCCCAGUAAGAAAUUGUGCAGCUGAAUCUUCUUCAUCUAUCUUAACAGAUAACAAAUUCCACUACAUGCAUACAAGUAAUAGAGCAUUGACAAUAGAUCCUAGUAUAGUCGCAGGAAGAAUUCCGGUUAAGAAUUCCCCAAAAGAAAUCCCACUCUCUGUGGCUAUAACCAAGUUUUGGGGGUUGCCAAUAGGAGUUGCUGUAGAUCCAAUAUUAGCACUUGAGGCAAGGGCAAGUGAGAAAGGUUGAGGUGGGAGAUUCUUCUGCCUUGCAAUUUUCAACACAAAUUCAGUCAAAACCAUACAAGAUGUGUCAUUGGUGAAGAAAGCACUUGAAAUGGCAGAAAUUAAGCAGAUUCUGCAAAUUAAGUCCUUUGCGCCUUUACUCUUCCAUGUGAGCAACUUACCUAAGUACUUAAAUGCAUCUGCACUUUCAAGAUAUCCACUGACAACCAUUGUACCAAAGAGUAGACCAAGGAUUGAAAGAUCGAUUGCUUCAUAUGCUUGAUCAACAGUUAGGACUUGAAAAAUGACCAUCAGCAUACCUCCUAAAAGGGACCCUGCAGUCCUCCCGAUGGGUAGACAUGGAACAGCAGGAAAAACUGCCAGUACCCAGAAGAUUGCAAAGGCAAUUGAGCCUAGAAUCAGUUUUACAUAAGACGCCAUUGCCAUCUUUUAGCAUUCUUUAAAAGCCUUAUCUAACAGACUGCACAAGGCUCCAGGCCUUCAAGCUCGAAAUCUUGAUAAUUGAAACGAUAAAGAUUGUCUAAAAUACCUUAUGUUUCUGUCUUGGGAUCAGACUGCUGAUUUCGUUCUGCUUGGGAAAAGUAAUACUAGUAAGAACAACAACUACAGCUACUAUUUCUAGCAAGUACAACAAAAUUAGCUUUAUAUUUUAUCAGCAAGACUGUUACGAGAAAGCUGUUGACAGUAAAUUAAACUACAUUCCAUUCCCUGGAAAAAAGCUAGUUCAAUUAGCUUUUAGUUGAGAAUACUUUGCACUGCCAGAAUCCCACAUGUAUUUUGGCUGGCCUGUCUUCUCUCUUCUCUCUUCUGUUUUUUUAGAGUUCCAGAAUUUGUAAGAAACCCCACUUGCACCUUGCAAUUAUUGAGGAGGUACAGGGAGCAACCGCUGAUUCUUGGCUAGGUUGCCCCGGGUCAUGAUAUAUCCUGAUAUUAAGAUAUUUCAUAGGAUAUUUAAAAAUAGUAAAAAUUAAGAAAAAUGAUAAAAAUAGAUUAACGGCAAAACUAACAAAAAAUAUAGUAAAUAAAGUUAUACUUGUAAAAAUUUGAAUUUAAAAAUAAUAUAUCCAUGCAUCUAAUAAAUAAAGAAAACAAAUCUUCAUCUUUUUAAAUUUAAGUAUAUUUUCUUAUUAGCCACCCAAUACCAAAAAAUAAUACAUUUUCUCACUGAUGUUUAUAUUUAUUAGAACUAUCAACUUAUGUUUAAUCUGAUUUAUUUUCCUAAUACAAUAUAUUUUACACUCACUUUUACCUAUUUUACAAAUAAAAAUAUCAAAAUAAAAACCUAUUUAUGCUUUAAAAAAAAACCCUAUUUCAUGAAAAAUAUUAUAUUAUUUUACCUAUUCUUCUUUGUAGACAUGUUAUAAUUAACCAAUUUCUAAAAAUAAAAUAAAUUAGAAGGAACCAAAUUAAUACAUAAACUUACAGUAACUUGUCCCUUGGGGACAUCCGAUACAAUAGUAACUUGUCUGGAAAUAAAAACAUUUGACGGAUUAGAUUUAAGAAUAAGAUAUGCGGCUUCAACUGUGCCAUCGUCAUUUCAAUAUUUUCAAUGCGCUAUGCGUAAGAUCUACUCGGAUUUUUGAGUGGCUUCCGGGAUCUACACAUGUAUUAUUUAGGGAUCACUCACUCACCCUGUCUUGGGUUGGAAUAUUUUAUACUACUAUAUUCCCGAGUCACCCUAGCAAAGCCAUUUACUACUGCUAUUCUUUUUGUUCUUGUUUACAAAGAGCGUUACCAAAGACAAAAAGAAGAAAAAGAACAAAGAGAGUUAAAUUCAAUAAUUCAUGAUUAAAAAAGAUUAGACAAAUUAAACUAUUGAAUGGAUCUCGAUAAAUGAAGUCCAUGUUAUUUCUAUAUCGUGAAAGAAACGUUAGUAGUAAAUUUGGUCACAUAAAUUAUUGUUAAAGAUAUUAAUAGAUAGAGUAUUUAUUAUUAUUAAGAUAUUUUAUCUUGAAUUUUAUUAUUUGAUAGACUACUCGAAUGUUAUAAAUUUAUAAUCAAUUUUUACGUAUAUUAUUAUUAUUAUUAAAAAUUAAAAUUAAUUUUAUAAACAAAUAAAUUAAAUUUUAAAAUCAUAUUUAGAUUAUUGAUGAAUUUUAAUAAAUAUUUUCUAUUAUUUAUAAAAAAUUCGUAAAAAAUAAUUUAUUGUUAAAAAUAAUUAUUUACAAUUAAACUUAAAUAAUAAAUAUUUUAAAAUUACUAUUCAAAUCUUACCUUAACUGUGACUAACAUAGUCUAAUAAUAAUGUUAGUAUUCAAAUGAGGGUUGGGCUUCCUACCUAUUAGUCAUUAGACUCAAAGAAGAAGGGCUCAAGAUUGCAAUUCGUCGUUCGAAAUUGCGGGCCCAAGACUUACCAAUACUAAUCGAUAAUCACAGAACUUGAAGAAAACUGUAAAAUUGGCAUUGGGCAAAGCACACUCAAUUUGUGUCUGCGUGAGCAUGGAAUUUGAAGGGCUGUGUUUAUUUAGCUAGAUAUAUAUUCAUGGCUAAAAGGGAAAAAGAAAUUUGAUCAUGAUCAAUUUUUGCGCAGAAUCUAGCAUUAGCUGGCAAGUUGGAUGUUGUUUUCUAGUUUAUCAAGGCAAAUUACUUUAAGAAUUUUAUCAAUUUUAGCAUGACAUCAUGUAAAUGCAUAUGAUUAACAAGUAAUAUAGUGGUGAGGGAGUUAUAUCUACAAAGAAUUGUAUCUAAAUUUUUACUAAUUAUUAAAAUUCGGCACUCUAAUCUUAUCCAAGUAAUUUAAUUUUGAAAAUUGAUUAAAAUUGAAAUUAAAGUAACAAAGCUAAACUAAUGAAUUAACGUUAAGAAAUUUCUAGAAGUUCAAUAAAGUAGAACCUAGACUGUGGUACUCUACUUUUCACUUGGAUUUAAUUUCACUCAUUAUACUUAUAUUAAUGAGUUGGUUGCUAACCUAGAAUAUAAAUUUAUCUACAAUUCUCUGUUGAGAUAUUAUAAACAAACCUAUCUUAACUAAUUUUUCAUGUCUAUGUAAAUUAAUUAAGGUAAGUUCACUAAGUUUAUACCUUAAUCUUAGUUGCACAUGGUAUUUAGGUAUAUUUUUAUCCUAAAUAUUAAUCAAAUCACCCAUACUCUAAGCAAAGUAAACACAUGUUAUUCAAAUCCUUGAUGUAUUCUAAAUUUCCUAUGUCAAGUUGUAUUUAGAAAUCCAACUUAAUUUAAUUAUUGAUCAAACAAUUAGAAGCAAUAAACAUCGAUUUGAAAUAAACAACAGAUUACCCAUUAAUAUUAAGUAAAAGAAAAUUAAAAUAUCCAAACUAUAAGUAGAGAUUAACCACAAUCUUAGGAAUAGAAAUUCAAUUCAACAUAUUUAAUACAAAAUCUAAUAUUUUUUAAAAAAUAUUCAUUUUGCAAUAAAAAGUAGAGAGAGAUAGAACUAGUGAGAGAAAAAUGAGCUGAUGUAGAUGAUUGAAGCUCCCCCAAAAAUCCUUGAAUCCUCUCCUUCCUCUGUUUUUUAGAAAGUUGCCUCUCUUUUCUAGCUCCCAAAAAAACUUGAAAAGUCCCUCUUUUCAAUUUUAAAAAGGCCUAUUUUCACCACUCCAUGUAACCUUUCGAUUUAAAAGAUCAAAGAGUGUAAAAAUUUAUCAACUUGCGCGUCGGCAUUGCAACGUUGGAAGCACGACACUGCAGCGCCCAAGCUUUUGGCUUGGGAGCUUGCUAGUUGGCUAGGACAGUGCUGUACUUGCUGUUUCCAUGCUUUGUUCUUUCAAGUUGCUUGGAGCAAAACUACUGUGGUCAAGCUAGUUUUAAUGCAAUUUUGAUUAUGUUCUGAUAAAAAAUGGAUGAAGUGAUAAAAAUAAAAAUUGUAGUUAUUCCUCUUAGCUUUCUAAUGGUCUAAAAAUCACGUUAAUUGGACUUCUAUAACUUGAAUUAUGUUUAAAAUACCAUAACAUAUUAAGUGAAAUCUACACCUGAUUAAUUUGUAUAAUUUUUUGUCACUUGACGCAUUCUCUUUUGAAGAUCUUAAAAACAUAAAAACUAAAUCAAUCAUAGUUAAAAAUAGACAUUUUUAUCAUACAAAUAAAUUAAAAUAACUUGAAGUAAAUUAACUCAAUCAUAAGUUAACUAAUUAACGAAAAAAAAAAAAAAACAACUUACAAUUUUACUUAAACACAAAGAUUUAGUUAUUUUAUCACUUAAAAUAUGAUAAAAUAACUCUAUAUAAUAAAAUUUUCAUUGGAGAACAUAGUGACUUUUUUUUUCUUUUUGGCUAGAAGAAAGCCAUGACAAAUGCAACAGUUCAAGACUAAUAGCAUUAUUUCAUUUAACAUAAACCAAAACCAGUCGCUUUGAAACAAACAUUUGCUGCCAUGCCUAAUUGGGGAAACCUCGCAAAUCUCGAUCUUCUCUAUAAGAUGAGUGCCAUGUAUUCUUUUCUUUGUGUUUUUUCUUAUAAGCCUCCUUUUUAGGACAUUUAUUUAAUCAUCUAAAGAGUGUCAAACCGAUAGCAGUAACUAUAAGCGUUGAGGGAACUCCAAAUUUAAGGUGUUUCCAGAAGGACAAAGUGUAUCCAAGCUGUGGAGCACGACGAGCUUGCUCACACACUAUCAAGUUAGCAGCUGAUCCCAGUAGUGAAAGGUUCCCAGCCACAGUGCUGACCCAGGCUAACAUAAGCCAUGCUUUCUUCUCAUCAGAUGCAGAAAUUGCAGCAGCUGAUGCUGCCACUCGCCCUCCAAGCAACAGAACUGAAAAGUAUCAAACAUGUUGGUGUUAAGCAACUAGAAAGUAAUGUGACCUGGCACAUAAAAGGUGGUUGCAAAACUGAUUACUAUUUCAGGAGAAAAGAAAUGAAGAAACAAAGAUCUGUACUUUAAAGUUGCCAGUGUUAUCAGAUAUAUAUUCAUAGGAAAGAAACAUCAGCAUACCGGUCGGUACAUUUGAGGCCAAAUUGGAGAGGCCAAGUAUGACAAUGGCUAGAAUUGCUAUCCCUGAAACAUGAUUGAUCUUUGCAUAGGGUUCCAUCAAGUCCCAAAGAGUGCAUGGGAUUCCACUUUGGUUGAAGCCAUCGACUGUGAUAAACAUUCCGCAGAAGAAAAUUAAAAGCGAAUAGGACACCUGGUCACAGAAAAUAAUUGAGCUUAAUUAAUUAACUAUAUCUGGCCAAAAAAAUAACAAGUAAAACAUUUAAGUUCUUAUGAAACUAAUAAUGCUUUUCUUUUUCUCUUUUUUUUUUUCUAUUUCCAAUCUGAUUUUAUUGUUUAAAAACCUUUUCUAGGCAAGGCCGAGCAUCCUGAAAGUCAAGAACUAUAAGAGCAAGAGCAGCGGUAAUUGCAGUCCAGGACAUAUUAAGGCCCAUAAGCAGAGAAAUCAGCAUCCCCAUGGUAACAAAGUAAACACUGAAUUUCCAAAACCUCCUUUUCCACCUUCUGGGUAAGUUUUCCUUUUCUUCUGAAGAUUGCACAGAACAUACGUCUUGCAAGCUAUCCGUCAAUGCAAUAAUCUUUAAAGCCACAGGUUCCUCCUUCCCAUGGGAGUGGUCAUCCGUUGUGGCCUCCUUUGAUGCAUUUGAAUUCCUUGCAGAAUCAAUUGAACCACUAGGUACCCUCUGGAUUUCAUUCUGAUCAGCUGAAUUUCCUCGGUUUCUAAGGGUCUCAACAUGAGCUGUGCUACCAUUUGCGUUGGGAGACCUCAUCACAUUCUUAGAGUCCAAUGUUGAGUUCCAUUCUUGAGGGUUCAAUGAAGAAAAAUGUGACAUGGUUGCUGGUGAAAACCGAUGAGAACUCACAUCCUCUUCAGCUACAGCCGCCCCACUUGGAUCUUCUUCAUCCUUCUGAACAGAUAACAACCUCCAAUACAUGCACAGGAGAAGUAAAGCAUUCACUAAGACUCCUACCAGCAUUGCAGGUAGAAUUCCAAUAACAAAAUCCCCAAAAGAAAUUUUACUCUGAACUGCUAUAACAAGGUUUUGAGGAUUCCCAAUUGGAGUUGCUGAAGACCCUAUAUUGGCACUUGAGGCAAGAGCAAGCAGGAAUGGAUGAGGGGGUAGAUUAUGUUGUCUUGCAAUUUUUAACACAAAUUCAGUCAAAACCACACAUGAGGUAUCAUUGGUGAAAAGAGCACUUGAAAUGGCAGAAAUCAGGCAGAUUCUGCAAAUUAAGUCCUUAGCACCUUUACUCUUCCAUGCAAGCAACUUACCUAGAUAUUUAAACAUGUCUGCUCUUUCAAGAUAGACACUGACAACCAUAGUACCAAAUAAAAGGCCAAGGAUUGGGAGAUCAAUUGCAUCAUAUGCUUGAUCUGGGGUUAUGACUCUGAACAAAACCAUAAGCAUGGCCCCUAGUAAGGACCCUGCAGUCCUCCCAACUGGUAGAAAGGGGACAGCAGGGAAAACUGCCAAUACCCAGAAGAUUGCAAACGCAAUUGAGCCUAGAACCACUUUAACAGAAGAAGCCAUGGCCAUUGUUUCUGAUCAAUUAAAAACCUAAAGAAUUCCAAACCUUCGAAAAAAUCUUAUCCAGUACAAGCAGUCCAGUUCAUGCCAUCAGUUUCACGCCCAAAACAAAUGCGCAGAGCAGCUUAGCAGUAUGAUCCAACAGAACAUUGUUUUCGAAGUAAAAGAUUUUUGUCCUCGAGAUACUGUCAUAAAUUCAAGUCAAAUUUCAAAAGAAGUCAGAAAACUCCGUAAACUCAAAAACAAUAACUCAAAACAGCAAGCACCCAAAAACUUUUGGAAAGAUGUAACAGAGUCCACGAUUCAACUAUCUCCUUUGUCGCCAAGUCAUGGCCAUUUAGUGAACUUCUAAUCCACAACCUCUAUUGAAUUCAAAGUAUUCAGAUGCAAAGUAUGUUCAUACAAAGCACUGAAGAAAAGGUUUAUACUCACAGUAAUGAAAAAUUGAACAGGGCGAUCUUUGCAUGUGCAGUCAACGGCAUCCCAUCAAACCAGGUUUUGCAUUAGAUGGGUUUGGGAAGCACUUCUUUCUAGAUGUCUGAAGGAGAAAUGUGGAUCACAAGUUCGGUGUCACGAGCUGGAGCUUCCGUUUUAGAACAAUGAAAGAAAUCCUGUCUUAUCUUGUCUCGUAUAAUUUUCACGUCCACUCAGUCAAUCGCGUUCAUUCAGUCUUUUAUUUCUUUCUUUGUCCUUCAAUAUUUUAGAAAGUUAAAUUUUAUUAUCUAUUAUUUUCUUUCUUUGUCGUUCAAUCUUUUAGAAAGUUACCCCCUUAACCAUCCCUGCAAUAGCACUAACAUAUUAUGAAAUUAAUUAAUUAUAAUAAUUCACUAGUAUCAUACAAAUGAAAGGAAAAAAAAAACAUAUUACUGAUAACAAUCCAUUUUGUAUUAUAUCUAUUUAGUGCGUAAAAGUUGGUUAAAUUCAAACCCACUCGGUCGCCCAAAUUCUUUUACUGGAUUUCCAGUUCGAGUUGUAAGCUGCAACCUACCCAAGUAGCAACUAGUUGGCAUCAAGAGUUGGAGGCCAACAACUUUUAUUGAGAGGUCAAAGAUGAAAAAGUAUAAAAAUUAAAAUUUUUUAAAAUAAAUACAUUAAAUUUAAAAAUAAGUAAAAAAUUUAUAAUAAAAAUAAUUUUAUAUAAUAUAUAAAUUAAAAAAUAAAAAUAAUUUUAUAAGUAUCGAAUUUUACUUGAAAAGUAUCUAUUUUUUUAAAAUUAAACUUAAGACGUUUUGAUUCAUAUUACUUUUUUCAUGAUUUGAAGUAUUGAUAUUUGAUAGUUCAAAUGUAAAAAAAUUAUUUAGAACUUACUCGUAUUUUAAUCAAAUUAAAAUUUUUUUUUUGGAAAGUGUUUUUAUUAAACUUUUGCUUGAUCAAAGACUGAUAAACUAUUUGAAAUCUUAUACAAUUACAUAGAAAAACCACUUUAAAAACUUGAUGGUUGCUCAAAAAAAAAUAAAAACACCCAACAACAGAAAAAAGAACAAGCACAUCACACCAUUGACAUAAAAAAAACCUAAGAUCAGAUCCUAAUCAAUGGGUAGUCAAUAUCUAAAAUUAUUAUUUUAUUUCUAUUUAAAUUUAGAAUACUAAAUAUAAAACUAUAAUGUAUAAAAUAUAAAUAGUUAAAUACAAUAUACAAAAUUUAGUUGAAAAAUCAGAGUAUGAGAAGAAUAUUUGUGAUGUUAUUACUCGAUGAAUCUGUACAGUCCAUAUAUAGAUAUGAGUCAAAGAUAUAGAUCUUAUAAUCAAGCUAUUGUUCCUACAAUCAAAUUCUUCUCUAUUCCUAUAAUCAAGCUUUUCUCAUAAUGAGUCUGUCAACACCUAAUGUCCAGCUAAGUUAUCUCUAGAAUAGGAAAAAAUUACAAGAACAAUUACAAGGAUAGUUGACUAUUUACCAAUAUUUCAACAGUCCCCUUCAAGUUGGUGCAUAUAUGUCACACAUGCCUAACUUGUCCAAAAACUUUGAGAACACUCGACUUGAAACUGCUUUGGUGAGGAUAUCGACCAGCUGGUCCUUUGAUCGAAUUUUAGGCAAUUCCACAAUUAGCUCAUCCAACUUCUCCUUGAUGAAAAUUUUGUCAACUUUCACAUGUUUUGUACGAUCAUGUUGAACCGGAUUCUGGGCAAUAUCACAAGCUGUUUUAUUGUCACAAUAUAGUUUGAUUGGUUGUCUAGGUGGAUAGCCCAAAUCCUUUAAGAGAAACCUUAUCCUUCAAGUGCCAUAGCUCUAAAUUCAGCCUCUGCACUAGAGCGUCCAACAACAUUCUAUUUUUUACUUUUACUAGGUUACCACCUACAAAGGCGAAAUAUCCAAAAAUGGAUCGCCUAUCAUCUACUGCUUCCAUGCUUUCAACAUCAGUAUAUGCUUCCAUGCUCUAAUAAUCCAUGUUUUUAGUAAACAAAAUUCCCUUUCCAGGAGCAGACUAUAGAUACCUCAAAAUGUGCAUAACAGCAUUCAUAUGUUGCUCUCCCAAAUUAUGCAUAAAUUGGUUGACAAUACUCAAAUCAUAAGCAAGGUCCAAUCUUGUAUGUGCUAAGUACAUCAAUCUUCCUACAAGUCUCUAGUAUCUCCAUUUAUCAACUGGUACUUGAUUAGACUACACACGUAAUUUUAACCCUUAUUCUAUUAAUGUAUUAGCCGAUUGACAUACUAACAUACCAGUUUCUUGUAACAAGUUUAAGGCAUAUUUUCUUUGAGAAAGGAAGAUCCCUUUAUCACAUCAGGACACUUCGAUUUCCAGAAAAAAUUUUAAGGGACUGAGGUCUUUCAUUUUGAAUUCUUUGGACAAGUAACUCUGUAGUUUCUUCCUUUCCUCAAGAUCAUUUCCUAUGAUCACCAUGUCAUCUACAUACACAAUAAGUGUGGUGAUUUUAUCUUGCUGUUUCUUUAGGAAUAAAGUGUGAUAUGAAUUACUCUGAUGGUAGCCAAAAGCUAGCAUAAACUUUAUGAACCUCCCAAACCAUGCUCUUGGAGAUUGUUUCAACCCAUAUAGUGAUUUCUUUAAUCUACAUACCUUCUGACUAUAUUUUUUUGGCAUCAUGCAUCUUGGUGGGAGAUCCAUGUAGACGUCUUCGGACAACUCGCGGUGUAAAAAGGCAUUUUUCACAUUAAAUUGUUGUAAUGGUCAAUCCAAGUUUGCAGCUAGAGACAACAAGACUCGAACUGUGUUGAGUUUAGCUACAGGUGCAAAGGUAUCUAUAUAAUCAAUUCCAUAGGUUUAAGCGUACCCUUUUGCAACCAAUCUCGCUUUAAAGCAUUCAAUUGUACCAUUUGCUUUGUACUUCACAGUAAAAACCCAACGACAUCCAAUUGUUUUCUUUCCUAGUGGACAAUUAACAAGUUCCCAAGUUUUAUUUUUUUUUGUAAGGAUUUCAUUUCCUCAUUCAUCGCAGCUCUCCACCUUGGGUCAAUUAAGGCUUCUUGCACAUUGUAGGAAUAAAUACAAUAGAUAAUUGAUUCACAAAGGAUUGAUUAGGUUCUGACAAACGGUAGUUAGACACAUGAUGACUCAUACGAUAUUUAAUUUUACUAGAAAGAUCAGGUUCAUAUGUGGGUUUAGGAAUACCUCUAAUGUGAUGUUGUGGUAGCUAUUUCCUAAAUGGUUCAGACAAUAAAUCAGAAACAUCUUCAGCAGGCGAUUGGUUUAGUGUAUCAGUUUCUUAUGGUGCAAGGAACUUGGAUGGAGAUGAAACCACAACUUCAGUUUCUAGGUGUGUGUCACCACUUUGGUCCACAUUUAUACCACUUAAGUCCAAGUUACCUACAUUCUGGUUACCAUGUUCAGGGAGUUCCCUUUCUUUAGAAAAGUGAACUUCAUAGUCUAGAGUCUGAACUUCCUCUUGGUACUCCCCUUGAUGUUUAGACCCAGAUGAAAAAUACAUUGAGUUUUCAUGAAAAACUACAUCCAAAGUAAUAAACAUUCGUUGUGUGGGAGGAUGAUAGCAUCGGUACCCCUUUUGAUGAGUAGCGUACUGUAGAAAAACUCAUCAAAAUGCUCGAGGUGCCAACUUGUUGCAUUGAUACUUAUGAAGGUGUACAAAUGCUACAUAACCAAAUACAUAUGAAGGUAAGUUUGGGACAGUUGGGGCAAUUAUUGCUUUAGUAAGAGCUUGCGAUGGUGUCUGCAAAUCAAUAGUGCUUGAGAGUACUCGAUUGAUCAAAUAUGUUGCAGAAAUUAGUGCUUCACCCCAAUAAGAUAAUGGCAUAUGAGCUUCUAUCAAUGAAAAAUGAACAGCCUCCAAUAAGUAACGAUUUUUUCGCUCAACUACCCUAUUUUACGAUGGUAUAUCAGUACAAGUAGUUUGAUAAAUAAUUCCAUGUGCUUCCAAAUAUUGCCCCAAUUUAGUACUCUAAUAUUUUUCUUCAUUGUCACUAUGAAGAACCUGAACAUGUGCAUUGUACUGAGUACAAACCAUUCUAUGAAAUUUUUGAAAUAACAAAUUCACUUCGCCUUUGGACUUCAUGAAGCACACCCAGGUCAUUCUGGAACAAUCGUCAAUAAAAAUAACAAACCAACGUGAUCCACCCAAGGUAGUGAUUUUAGAUGGACCCCAAACAUCAUAAUGUAUGACCAUAAAAGGAACUGGAUUUUAAUUCAAAGUUAAUGGAAACGAAGCACGAUGGCUCUUUGCAAGUUCACAAACGUCACACUUGAAACUAGCAACAUCAAAUUUUGCAAAUAAACAAGGAAAUAACUUCUUGAGAUAACCAAAAAAAGUAAGCCCUAAACGUCGAUGCCAUAACCUGGUGGCAUAUUUUUUCUUCUCUUCUUCAUGGCCAUCCACCUUCAAAGCUUGACCUAACUUGUCCAAACUCUUUGACACCAAGUCCAAGUAAUACAACUUCCCUCGCUUAACACCACAACCAAUCGUCUGCCUCAUUUGGAUGUCCUUAAACACACAAAAAUCAGGCCAAAAAAUUACAACACAAAUAAGGAAGUAGUUAUUUGGGAAACGGACAAAAAAUUAUAGUCCAAGGAUGGAACAACUAAAACAGAAUCUAAAUUCAAAGUAUUAGUGAAGGACAAAGAUCUUUCCUUAAUAACCGGGUUAAAAGAACCAUUGGCCGUGGAAAUAGAUAUUUGUGACAAUGGUUUGAAAGUUCAGACUUAUCUAGAAUCAAAUGUCAUAUGAUCUAUAGCACUAGAAUCAAUUAUCCAUGUACUAUUAGAAACAAGUGUAUGUUGGGAAUUUUGAGAAUAUGGUCCCUUGGAAAGCAAGUAUAUUAUCAUGUAUAAAUUCAUUGAAUUUAUUUGUAAUGAAAGUACAUUUUGAUAAUAAGAUGAAGAGUUUGUUUUAGUAAGCAUUCAUUAUCUAGUUAUUAAGGUACCAAGAUUUUAUUGAGAUAUUAAAAUACAUUUGUAUGAAGAGUCAUACAUAAGAGACAUGUAUUUUAAUUGAAUCUAAAAAUUGUUCAUAGCCAUGUAAUAAAGCUGGUCACUUUAUUAUGUUAAGGCUGUAGUGUCUAUAUUACUUCCAACAAAACGAAUGUGAUUCAUUUCAAGGGAAUGAUGAAUCUCAAAUCAUCAAAAUGGUUGACUUCGAGUAAUGAUACUAUAACAUGAACUGGAAUCAUGUGGGAAUCAAAUUUAAGUUUUACCGUUACCUAAAUCUUGAUCUCACACUUAUGCAUUUGCCUAUAGUAGAACCGAAAUCCUGAUAGAUAGUGGACUCGUGUUUAAUCUCCUUAUAAUAUUUGAUUUACCAUGAGCAUGAUCAUCAUAAAGCGUUGAUCUAGACUCCGUAUUUUGGAUUAGAAUUGAGAUGAACAUUUGGGAACAUAUAUUCAGAUAAUGGAGUUCAUAGCAUUAACAUCACUUCUAGUGAUUUCAAGAAGAUUGGUGAUUAAUCUGAGCCUAGUGGAUUGAUGAAUUAACUACUCAUCACAUCUGGAUACUCAAAAGAUUAGAUCUAGAGUAUUCAAUCACUAAUUGGAUGAAAUUUGAGACUAUGGGACAAAAUUGACAUAAAUGGUAAAACGAUAAUUUCACCUUUUGUCAUUGGAUGGUUAUGAGGGUUCACAAUAUAAGGCUUGUAAUUGGAUAACUAAUAAUUAAUAUCAAAUAUUGAAUUAUUUCUUGUAAUAAUAGUUAAUCCAAUAGUGUAACCAUGACUCUAUAGUGGAGUGAUUUCAUGGUUAAUAAGCUUGAAUUAUUUUUAAUGAGAUUAAGAAUAAUUCUAAAUUUAUUGGAGCUUGGAAUAUCUAUGUCCAAAUAGAUUCUCCACUUAGCUUCGUAAAAUUCAACUUAUUUAAGUUGGAAUGUAUGUUUUAAUUUGUUUGAUUAAAUUAUAUACAAAAUUGACAGCUUUGACAUGUUUGUCUUAAUUUAGACAAGAAAACAUGUUUGGUCUUAAUUUAGACAAAAAAAUAUGUUUGCCUUAAUUUAAGACAAGAAAAAAAAUUUUUGUCUUAAUUUAGUCAAGAAAACAUAUUUUUCUCAAUUUAGACAAGAUAAAAUAUUUUUUGUCUUAAUUAUAGACAAGAGUUGUCUUAAAUUAAGAUAAUUUUAGGAGAAUUUUUACAAAAUGAAUCUAGACAUCCAUGUUGAUAAAAAAGAGACUUUAUGUUUGACUAUUACUCUUUUAUUUAUUAUUAAUUUUUUUUAAAUAAAGAUGGAUAAUAAUAAAAUAAGAGUUAUUAUUCAAUAAGGAUAUUUAUUUUAUCAAGAAUUCUAAAUGAUAAUUAAAGAAUUAAAUUAUUUAUUUUUUAAUUUUUAUUUUGAUAAUUAUGGAGCAUGUUUGAUGCUUCCAUAACUUUGAAUGGAUGGUCAAUAUUGAUUAAAAGGUGUUUUAUUUUGAUUAAACCUUUGAAGCAUGAGUUUUAAUAAAAAGAAAAGAGAUUGGAAGAAAAUAAUAGAACGUACUUUUCCUUAAAAAGUUUCAACCAUCUCUUCUCUUCUCCUCCUCCAAGCUUUUUUUAAAAAAAGAGAAUAAACUUAGUUGCCAUCUUAUAGCUUUGCAUUCCACACCUUGUCCACUCAAGGUUCAAGUUGAAAGUAUUCUUGAAGAAUAAGUGGUAAACUUAUUUGGUUGAGAAAUCAUUCAUUGGUGUGGUGUUAUCAAAAAAUAAGAAUCUCAAAAUAAAGGUAUGGUUUUCUUACUUAAUAGAUUCUUAUUUUAUUUUUUUAUGUGAUUAUAUUACUUACAAUAAUAAUAAUGUGUGUUUCCGCUUGUAUAAUUAGAUUGCUUGCUUCUUUUGUUAAAGAAAUUUUUGAAAUCCAUGCUUUACACAAUCACAUUAAUCCACAAGAUCUUACUCCAACAGUGUAAACAUAUUUAAGACCUUACCACCAUUACUUGUGAGUGUUGCCAAUGCCGAGGCUUUUUCAUCAACCUCAUCCUCUGCCUUUGUUUCAACCAUUGCAGCAAUAGAGAUCUUCUUGGAAUUCCUUUUUCGUAAAUCACGGCUAUGAUCCCACCAUUCAGGAUACCCCACUAUUUCAAAGCAUCUACUUUUAGUAUGACCAGUUUGAUCACAAUGGGUGCAUUUGUAGGUGGAUUUGUUGGCACCAUUAGUGGCCUUAUGAUAGCUAGGCUUUGUUUGAUUUUGCUGGUUUUAAGGAGGUCGAUUCGAGCCACCAUGGCUGAAGCUUCAAAUUUUUCAAAGUCUCCAUUCAUCGUUGUGCGUCGAACAGAUUCAUGGCGAACCAAUGCAUAACAUUCUUCUAAUUCAAGAAUAGGUUCCUUUCUCAAAAUUUCACCACGAAUUUGUUCAAAUUCACCAUCUAAUCCUACAAGAAAAAUGUGCACCUUUUGUUGCUGAACUGAUUUUUGGUAAGAUUAAACAUAUUUCUCACUCUCCAUAAUCACCUUAUCACAAUGAUCCAACUGACUAAAGAUUUCGGUUACUUUUCCAUAAUACACAGAUAGUGCUCUACCAUUUUGUUUGACAAAAAAAGCUUUCUAAUUUAAAGCGAAAACUUGUAACUCAUCUGCUCUAUCAUGAAAAGCUUUGAAAAUGGCUUUCCAAAUAUCACCAGUAGUGGGUAAGCGAAUAUAUCGCUUCAUAAUUUAUGGAGACAUAGACAUCAACAUUUUCGAUACCACUUUUCAUAUCCAUCAUCCUUUUCGAUAGGUAGUUUUGGGUAUCCACGAAUAAAGAAGAGUUUCUCCUUCUCAGCAAUAUGCAUUUUCGUGAUUUGAGACCACACAUCACAAUUUGUCUCAUUGAGUACAAUUCCUACGUUGAAAGAUGAACUUUCGAAUUGAACAAUAAUAGGAGAGGAUUUGCUCAUGGUGGUGUGAGCAAGCUCUUAUACCAAGUUGAAAAAUCAGAGUAUGAGAAGAAUAUUUGUGGUGUUAUUACUCAAUGAAUCUGUACAGUCCAUAUAUAGACAUGAGUCAAAGGUAUAGAUCCUAUAAUCAAGCUAUUGUUCCUACAAUCAAGUUCUUCUCUAUUCCUAUAAUCAAGCUUUUCUCAUAAUGAGUCUGUCAACACCUAAUGUACAGCUAAGUUCUCUUUAGAAUGGGAAAGAACCACAAGAAUAAUUACAAGGAUAAUUGACUAUCUGCCAAUAUUUCAACAGAUUUUACACAAUGGUUAAAUAUAUAAAUAAAAAAAUAAAAAUAAAAAACUUUAUUUCCUUUUAAUUUUACACAAUGAUGGUGACUGGUUUUUGUAAUUUUUUGUCCAAGCUCAUAAGCUCAUCAAUUUAUUUUGAGCAAUGAAAUGCAUUGUAGUGGUGAGGUACAGAGAAAAGAUUAAAAUAAAAAUAAAAAAAAAACAAAAAAGGACAAGAAAGAAAGAGAAAGAGGUGUGAGAAAAUUCGAAUAAAGUUAUUAUAAAGUUAUUUUAUUAUUAUUUAUUUAUAUUAAUAUUAAAACAAAAAAUUAUUUUGAAAAAAUUAUUAAAAAUGUAUAGCCAAUAAAUAAUUUCAUAAAUUUUGAAAGGAAUCACUAAAAAAUUUUAAAAAUUUUGUAAAAAUCAUUAAUGUAUAUAAUAAAUUUUUUUAAAAAUUCAUGGCCCCCCAUUGUUACAUUAGAGGAAAUUGUGAGAAAUAACCUUUCUCAUAAGCCCAAUUCAAAAAUAUCACUUUUUAUAAUUUUAACUAUUUUUAGUCAAUUUUUUACAUGACUUGACAAUAAUACCCUUUAAACAAUUUCAAACAAAUUAAAAUAGUUUCAGUUUUCUCUAUCCUACCAUCCAGACAAAAAUUUCAAAAUAAAAUCUCGAUUUCUCUCUCUAAUCAAAUACUAUUUAUCUUGCUAUCCAAAGCGUAGAAAUGACAUCAAGUUCUUUCUUAUUUUGUUUUAUUUUUUGGGAUGGUGGAUCUUAGGGUUCUCAAGGGUGAUGAACAUCGAUUUUGCUCAGGGAGAAGGAACAGCUAAAGUAUGUUUAAUGAGUUUUAUAGUGGUUCACGAUUUUAUAGUGUUUGGGAUUGAGAUGAUUGUUAAAAAUGUUUGCUAGGGAUUUUGAUUUUUUUUAUGAGAUUUUGAGUUAAAAUUGUUUAAGAAAUAUUUUGUAAAUGGGGUAUAUUUUGUUUUUAUAUAAGGGAGUGAGCAAGGCCCUCCCAAUAGGAAUAUAUUUUGUCUUGCUUUGGAGGGUUAUGGAGUUUUGUAACCUAUUUUUUAUGAAAUGCAUAAUUUCAUGGCUUAGCAAAAAAAAAAGUAUGUGUUUUAGAUUCUUGAGUUUAUUAGUUUAUUCAUAGAACCUCAAAGUUGAAAAGUUGAAAUUGAUUAUAAUGGUUUUUAAGUAUUGCGAGAUUGGUUUUUAGGUAUUGCGUAACUUAAUAAUUGUGUAACUAGUUUUUAAGCAUUACGUGAUUGGUUUUAGGUAUUGCGUAACUUAUUUUUAGAUAUUGCGUGAUUGAUUUUUAAACAAUGCCUAAGUCACACGAUGUCUUACUAACAAGUCACGCAAUGCCUUACUAACAAGUCACGUAAUGCCUUACUGAUAAGUCAUGCAAUGCCUAUCAACUAGUCACGCAAUGUCAUAUCAACCAGUCACACAAUACUUAAAAACUAGUCACGUAAUGCCCAAAAAUCACAAAAAUUAUUUAAUUCUAUUUAACAAGAUCAACAACUUCAGACGAUACACCAUAUUUCAUUUAAUAAUAUAAUUAACGAAUAUGUCUACUUGACAAAAAAUGUUCAAAAUAUUCCAAAGUUUUUUUUUCAUAUAUCAAAAAUCACUCAAAAAUACUUAAAAAUAUUCAAAACGUUCAAAGGUUUUCUUCGUGUAUUAAAAACUACUCCAAAAUGCUCAAAAUGCUUAAACAUUUGCUUUUUGAUAAAAAAUACUCCAGAGAUGAAUAGUCAGACAAGGAAAGCUCAAAGAAUAUGAGUUAGUUUGAGGCGUAGACUUAAAUAUACUUGACCCGUUAAUAGAUUUUAGGUUGAGAAGCGAAGCUAAAUAAAUAUGUCAGUUUCAUUAAGGAUAAUUUUAUCUAAAUUUUAAUUUUUUUUAAUUAAAAAUAAUUAAGAUUAUAAAAAAAUUUAUUAUCAAAAAUACCUUAUAUACGAGAUCCAUUUAAAAAAAAAAAAACUUGUUACAUUACCCUCCGCCCUUGAGACCAGGGGAGCCAUUUAGCGUCGAACCCUUUUAUCACGUUAUUAGAUUAGUCAAGCCAGUACAAGUUAACAAACAGUGACGAACAGAGACAGCCUGACAGGACAACUUUUUAACAUUUUCAAAUUCUAAGAUGUUGGGCUAAAGUCUAAAGAGCGGCCAUAUUCAACAACAGCGGAAUUACUCAAUUAUUUUUCUAAGGUGUUUGAUGUGGAUGGCAUGCUAUGAUUAAUAGAAAAAGCCAAGAAUUGAGUUUAUUUUUAUUUUUGAGGUCCAGGAAUGAUUUUAUAGAUCGGAAUAAAUUAUACUUGUGGAGUUUAGUUUUUAGACGACAUUAAUUAAUUAUAGUAAUAAAAUAGAAGUGAUCAAUUAUUGUUGAAUUAUUCCUUUAUACUAAUAGUCCUUUUACUUUGGCCUAUUAAAAAAGAUGUUUCAGUGAUACAGCUAUCAUGUAGUAUCACGUAAUCUAUCUUACUGAAGUUAAAUACAGAGAGAUAUGUUUAUAAUAUUUAAAUGUAUAUUUUGUGUCAAGACCUAACUUUUAUUUAUAUAUUAAAUAUAUAUUUAAAUCACAUGUACAUUUUGCUUAAGGUGUCUCAAGUUCAAAUAUUUUCUCUAGUUAUAUAUUAUAUAUAUAUAUAUAUAUAUAUAUAUAUAUAUAUAUAUAUAAAGUGAAAGAAACAUUUAUUAAUUGAAUGAUUCUGACUUUAGAGUUAUCAAAAUUCAUGAGAUUUCAAAUUUAUUUUUAAAAAAUAAAAAAGAAGUACGUACAUAAUUAAUUUAAUCAAUCUAUACAUCCAUAACAUAUAGAAAAAUUAUCUCGAGGGAGGUCCCGUGUUGACACCUGUUGGGAACAAAAUUGGUAUUAUUCAAUUUGUGUUGGUCUUUUGGAAGUUUUCGGACAUGGUUGGUACUACUCAAAUUGUUUUGAUUGUUUUAGAUAUUGAGUUUGGGUUUGAAAUAAAAUGUUGGGAGUGCUUUGGGGUUUUUGAGUGUUUGUCAACUUUUUUGGGUAUUUUCUCCUUUUAUUCUUCCAAAUUUUUCUUCUCUCACUUAAUUGUUCUGCUUCCUCGUCUUUUUACUUUGCAUGUUGUUUUGUCUUCCGCUCUCUAGUGUUGGUUCUUUCUUCUCCUUGGGUUCUUCUUUUUUGUGUUGGAUUUGUAUUUUUUUGGUUGGCUUUUGUCAUUUUCUUUGUUUAAUUCAUUAUAUACAUCUGAAUAGUUCUAUUUUUGCUAGGGAUUGAUUGUUCAUAUUUUUGUUGACGGCAGCCAUUGCAUAAAAUGCACCAUUCAAAUUUUACUUCUGUUUAGUACUGUUUUAUUUCUGUUGUCAUUAAUGCAAUAGUUUAUUUCUGAUAUAUUUUCCAAUGUUAACAGUAAUUUCAUAAAAUUUAAUAGUUGCCUAGCCUUGCAUUCAUGUGUUAAAUUUUUUGUAAGUGAACAUGUCUCACUUAAAUACACUAUUGGAGUAAAAUGCUUUGUAUAUAAUUAUUAUCAAAUGAUACUAUUUACAUGUCCAUUAAACACAAGACCUGCCAAUAUUAGUUUCAAUUUACUUAAAAAAUUACUUAUCUUGCCGUGCGUAUCGCGCGGGUUACACUCUAAUAUCAUUGUAAGAGCCAAUCCCAAAAUAUGUGAUGAAAUAUACUCUAAUAAUUGUAUGUAUGUAUGUAUAAUGUGUAUCUAUUAAGGAUCCACCAAUAUGUGUCUAUCCCUUACUUUGAUCUCCAGCUCACAAUCCAUUUAUAGAAGCUGCUAUAAUUAUUAGUUUUUAGUUAUCGGGUAACUUGUUUAUAUUCUUUAGCAAAUGAAAUUCAAUGGUCGGUGCAUAAAAAAAGUAUGAAAUUCAAUUCAAGACUUUAAGGCACCAAAAUGACUUUGAUUUUAAACAGUAAGAACUUGCAAUUGUACGAAAAGUAAAGAAAAAGAACUGUUUGUGACUACCAUCAGUGACAAAGAAUAUGCCAUGGUAUGACUUUGGCAUGUAGAAAUAUCAAAGAGCUUUAAUUAUAUCCCUUAAUUUAUUUCUCCUACAAGAAAGAUAAUGAACGUGUGGUAUCCUUCAACUUGUUUGUCACUUCGAUCCACCUAUUCUUAAGCAUGCUCCACCAUUGUUACUGCUUUCUUUGGAUAACUUUCCUUUGGCUUAGUCAAAAGUUUAGAGCGUGUUUUUUUUUCUCAACCAAUCAAAAGAUUUCAUUGUUCAAAGCAGCCCAGCCAAGGCAACAUUCAAAUAGCCGGCAUAAAUUAACACGAGUAAUGUACCGAAACAAGAAAAAGGGAGAACCAAAUCACAAUAAGACAGACCCAUCCCCCGUCAACAGCAACAGAGAGUAAGUAGAGAUGUUCUCAAACAGCCAUUAAUAUAUCAAAGUGAAAGAUGACAAAACUUGGUGGAAGGAACGCACCAAUGAAGUGGAAAACGUAAAUGCUCCACACUGACUUUAGGGAUCAAUACCCAUGCCAGUUGCAAAGUUGCAGGUGAGCGUGCAUUAAAUCCAUAUUCAAUGUCUAACGAGGGACCAAGAAUUUUAUUGUGAAAUUUUUUGAAGUCAAACAAUGGCUGGUUUACAUUACGAUAGCAUGGUAAUAAACGUACAAAAUGAUAUACUAAUUCCAAUCAAACUUUGUCGUUAUGACUAUACGUAGGCUAUGUUCUAUGAGCACAUCAUGAAUGCCUGUUGGAAAUCUAAAAGUUUUUGUUAUAUUUGUAGACUAUUAUUUGCUAAAAUGAUGAAAAAUAAAACUGAAGGACUAAAGAAAGAUAUAGUGAGAGAGAAAAUGUAAUUGAACUCAAAGUUUUUUUACAAUCUUUUCAUUUAACUAUAACACUUGUAAAUACAUUUACAAUGUAAUAUUUAUAUCUUACAUAACCACUACUUCACAAUACAAACCCAUUACUCAAUAUGACAAUAACUGUAAAGAGAAAAUAAGCUGAUAUUAACUAAUAAAUUAAAAAUUAUUAAGAAUAACUAAAUAUGAUUCUUCAAAUCAAAUCUCAUUCUUCAACAAUGCCAAACCAAUGGCUGUAACUAUAAGAGUGGAAGGGACUCCAAAUUUAAGGUGUUUCCAGAAAGUUAAAUUGUAGCCAACUGGAGCGUGGCGAGCUUGCUCACACACGAUCAAGUUAGCAGCUGAUCCGAGAAGUGACAGGUUACCAGCUACAGUGCUGACCCAAGCUAAAAUCAGCCACGCCUUCUUCUCAUGGGUUGCAGAAAUAGCUGAUGCUGAUAAUGCCACCGGGCAUCCAAGCAAAAGAACUGUUUGAGAAAUAAAAAGAAAACCAUGAGCAUAUAUGUUAAUUUUAAUGACUGGCUAAACCUGCCAGUGUUGUACAGCUGCAACAUUUCUCGCUGACAAAUGUAGAGUGUGUAAGCAGGAGAGUUUGAGGUGGUCCCGAAUAGGCCAAGAGAGUUUUUUAAAUUGUAAAAUGAGGUAGUCGUUAGAGGAAGAGAUGAACAAGUUUGGAGAAUGGCAUUUUAUGCAAUCUCUUGAUCUGUGUGGUUACAACGCAAUGGAAUUGUGUUUAGAGGGGCUGUAUGGGAUGCGAAUCAGGUUUGGGAGCUCCAGCAAGCUUAGGGUUGCGGUUUGGGCCAAGGUUAAAUAGCGAAUCAGGUAUGGAAUAGUCCAAUAGUGGAGUCAUGAUUUCAAAUUAGAAGAAACAAAAAUAAAAAAUUUAAUAUUUAAAGAGGUAACAUUAUAUAAUUUUUAAAAAACCAAAAAUAAAAUUAUAAAUAUUUAAAACAAAACAAGGAAAAAAUUAUGAACUUUUGAAACUUUGGGAGAGCGGGGCCCAGCUAGCCCCCCCUCCCUCCGCCUCUAGGGUGGUCCUUGACGCAUACCGGAAUUCUUCUUUUGGUGUAGGAAUGAAGGAGACAUAGAGACGUGGAGGGUUGGAUCAAACCAGUGGUGGGGAUGAAUGUAAUAAGUUCGGAGGUUAAGCACGUUUUUAGAGAGAACAAUCUGUUGGCUGAUAAACUCACUAAAGCUGAAGUUCAACGUGCUCAGGACCUCAUCAAUGUGCUGGAUUAACCACUGGUAUGGCUUAUUAUUGUGUGAAUUGAUGGUUUCUAUGUGAUUGAUGAGACUGCUUUCCAGAAUGAUCAAGGACGAGGCUUUCUAGUGCUGGGAUGAGUUACCUCUGGUCGGUUAUGGGUCAUGUUGCCGUGGAGGUUUUGGUUUUUGUUCUUUUUGAUUGUACAUAUGUUAGAAAUGAACUUUUUUACCAGAUGUGUUUACUGGUAGUUGGAAUAGCUCUAUUUUGUUUGCUGGAAAGUUACAAGGCUGUCUUUGGUUUCUCUUUUGUUUGGGAGGGCAAUUGGCAGGAAAUAGGGAGGCAAGCGAUUACUAGUGAAUUGUAUAUAUAGUUUUUUGGGUAUAGGGUACUGAGAUGGUUGAGGAUUGUUAUUCUCAAAAUUCAGAGUAACAGACCUGAAUCAGACUCUAAUUCAUCCAGAGGUGAACUUUUGAUUUCCUCCGUCUGAAAUAUAUCAUUAACUUUAAAAAAAAAUGUAGAGUGUAAAGAUCAACAUAUACCAGUUGGUACGUUCGAAGCCAAAUUUGAGAGUACAAGUAUGACAAUGGCAAGAACUGCUAUCCCGAAAACAUCAUUGAUCUUUGCAUAGGGCUCCACCAAGUCCCAAAGAGUGAUUGGGAUCCCAGUCCUGUUAAAGCCAGCCACUGUAGCAAACAUUCCGCAGAAGAAAACUAGAAGCGGAUACGACACCUGGUAAAAGAAAAGAAGUGUAGCAGAACUUUGAGUAAGUACCCACGUCAAAGAGAUUACAAGAAGCAAAAGAUGCAAUAGCAAGAACAUUCUGGUUUGCAGAUUACCUUUUCUAGGCAAGGCUGAGCAUCAUUAAAAUCAAGAACUAUAAGAGCAAUUGCAGCGGUGAUUGCAGUCCAGGACAUGUUAAAAUCCAUAAGAAACGAAAUCAACAUUCCUAAGGUAACAAGGUACACGCAUGGUUUCCACAUUAUCCUUUUCCACCUUGUGGCCAAGUUUUCCUUCCCUACUGGUUUCGAAGAUUCUACGAAGACUGGUGCCCUCACUCUAUGUUGCUCUGAUAGAAGUGGAAUUGCCUCACUUCUCUCGGAAGAACCAACACUUGUCACGGUUAUCAUUACUGCAUUAGACUCAACUGCGCUCUUGGAUAACAUCUGGAUCAUUUCACUCUCAGCAAAACUCUCUCGGUUUUUAAGAGUGUCAACAUAAGCUGUGUUUGUAUUAGUUUUGGGAGAUAUUUGUGGGCUCAUUGUUUCCAAUAUGGAGUUCCAUUCUUGAGAGUUUAAUGAUGAAGAAUGUAACAUCGUGGCUGGUGAAUCACAAGGAAAAAUUCUAUUUUCAUCUGCUACUACUUUUCCAAUGGCAUCUUCUUCAUCCAUCGGAAUAGAUAACAACCUCCAAUACAUGCAUAGAAGAAGUAAAGCGUUCACAAUUAAACCCGCAAGCAUGGCGGGCAGAAUUCCAAUAAGAAAAUCCCCAAACGAAAUUUUACUUUGAAAUGCUAUGACCAGGUUUUGGGGGUUUCCAAUUGGAGUUGCCGCAGACCCGAUAUUUGAAGCUGUGGCAAGAGCAAGCAGGAAGGGAUAAGGGGGAAGAUUAUGUUGCCUUGCAAUUUUCAGCACAAAUUCAGUCAAAAUCACACAAGUGGUAUCAUUGGUGAAAAGAGAACUUGAAAUGGCAGAAAUCAGGCAAAUUCGACAAAUCAAAUCCUUCGGUCCCAUACUCUUCCAUGAAAGCAACUUUUCCAAGUAUUUGAACAUGUCUGCCCUUUCAAGGUAGAUACUAACAACCAUCGUUCCAAACAGAAGACCAAUUAUUGGGAGAUCAAUUGCAUCAUAAGCUUGAUCUGGAGUCAUGACUCCGAAUAAAACCAUAAGCAAGCCCCCAAGUAGGGAGCCCGCUGUUCUCCCUAUUGGCAUAUAAGGUACUGCAGGGAAAACCGCCAAUACCCAAAAGACUGCAAAAGCAAUGGAUCCUAGAACUACAUCAACCGGAGAAGCCAUGUCCAUUUUCUCAGCACAAUAAAAAUGUUCUUCUUGCUAGCAAGUUUCGAAUCUUCAAAAUCUUAUUCAGUAGAAUUCCAGCACGUGCAUGAAGUUCUAAACCCUAAAAAUCUUAUAUAUCGGAACUGUAGUCCUUUCAAGUACUUCUAGUUUAUCAGAAACUAGCUGCCUAGGGGCAUGCACUAAAGAGCCGAGAUAUUGAUUAGCCAACCCGUCGAACAUUGUCAGUGAGUGAAGACAAGAUUUGACGCCGAACAAGACACUGUUACAAAAGCAAGCAACAUUACGAAACUUAAAAAGGAAAUCGUGACAGAUAAUUUUGUUUGUAAGUUUAAUUUAAAAAUAUUAUUUAUUAUAAUUUUAAUUAUUUUUUAUUAAUUUUUAAUAUGAUUUGAUAACAAUGUUUUUUAAAUAAUUUUAAAUAAAUAAAAAUAAUUUCGAUUUUCUCCAUCUCGCUAUUCAAAUAAAAAUUUUAAAAUCAAAUUUCGAUUUCUCUUUAUUAUCAAAUACUGUUUAUCUCACUAUCUAAUUCUUUCUUAUUAUCUCAAAAAGUAGAGAUGACAUCAAAAUAUGUGUUUUAAAUUCUUAAAUUUAUUAGUUUAUAUUCAUAUAACUUCAAAGUUGAGUGGUUGAAAUUGAUUAGACAUAUUUCUAAAUUAAAAUACUGUAUAACUUUGGUAACUUAAAUCUGACUGCGAGUAAGCAAAUCAAUUAAUUAUUACGUAUUUGUAUUAUUGGUUUUUAGAUAUUAUGUCACUAAUUUUUAAGUAUUAUAAGACUAAUUUUUAUGUAUUAUAUGACUUAAUCAUUGUGUAUCUAGUUUUUAGAUAUUGCAUGACUAGGUUGUAGGUAUUACGUGAUUGAUUUUUAGACAAUGCCUAAGUCACACAAUGCUUACAAACCAGUCACGCAACGCCUUAUUAACUAGUCACGCAAUACUUAUCAACCAGUCACGCAAUACCAUAUUAAUUAGUUACGUAAUAUCUAAAAAUUAGUCACAUAAUACUUAAAAACUAGUCACACAAUACGCAAAAACUAAUUACGCAAUGCUUAAAAACUACCAAAACUAUUAAAUUUCAUUUAAUAAAAUCAACUACUUCAAACAGCACAUCAUAUUCCAUUUAAUAAUAUAAUCAACGAAUAUGCCUAUUUGGUGAAUAAUGCUCAAAAGUUUUUUUUCAUGUAUAAAAAAUCACCGUUCAAAAGUUUUUCUUCGUGUAUUAAAAACCACUUCAAAAUGCUCAAAAUGCUUAAAAGUUUUUCUUUCUAACAAGUAAUACUCCAAAGAUGAAUGGUUUUGUGAAGAAAACUCAAAGGAUAUGAAUCGGUUUGAAAUACAGACCUAAACAUAUGGAUCGGAUUCAUUAAAAGUAGUUUUGUCUAAAAUUAAUUUAUCUUGACUAAAAAUAAAAAAAAUUAUUUUCAAAAAUACUUUAUUAUGAGGGAUAUUUUCGAAAAAAAACCCAACUCAAAUAUCCUGAUAAGACGUUCAUUGAACAGUAACGAAACAGCUUGAGAGCAGACAAUAAAUACACGGAAAAGUAACUAGUCAUGCAAAAAGAUAUUCCAUGCAAAAUCUCUUGCAUGUCAGAAAAAUAAAAAUGAGCUCGAGAAAAAUACAAACAAAAAUAUCAUCAUCAUCAUCAUCGUCGUCAGGAUAACUAGUGCAAUACAUAAUGGUAGUAUAAGAUAAAACCAACUUUAAAAAAAAAAAGAUAAAAUCCGGAUUCUAAUGGCAAGUACGUAUACCCUGGCCACAACACGCAUACAAAAUGCUUUUAAAAUACCAAAAAAACAAAUCAAAUAGUUCAACUUGUUUCUAUAAAAUGCUACUCUCAUGGUCACAUAUGCUCCCUGUCCAUGCGUCAAACGACCAAAUAUAUAUAUAUAUAUAUAUAUAUUUUUUAAGGGCAUGAACAUUUCAUUGAAAGAGCUGGCAAGGGGGUUGCCAGAAAAAAACAGAGAGGGUAAAGAAAACCCGUUCAGCUGCUAAUCCCCUGUUACAAAGAGAUCAAAUAGGCCAAACAAUUCAGUCACAAAAAAACAGUUAGUCCCCUGGGUCCUAAAUGGUAACACGGUUCAACCAUAAAACACAAGAAAAAAGCGAAGGGGUAGAAAUAUUCAUGCCCACCUGUACAUGCAAAAAUACCUCAAAAAUACCUUAAAACGGGAAACACCCAGAUGGGAAGUUUUCAAACAAGAUAGAAGAAACGCGCCUAUGGUUCAUCUAUCCAAACGCGCCUAUGGUUCAUCUAUCUUCGCCUCUGCUAUAUUCAACGAACUAUUAAUUAGCUCAAAUCUCAAUAUCCAUAUGUAAUUCAAAUGCUAUAAUAAUCUGUCUCACAAUCUACUUAUUGUGACUAUUCCUCUCAAAAAGAAAGCACUUUAAACUCACCUUAACAAAAAGUUGUACUAGCUAUAAUGGCGUUGAGAGCGCCUUGGGUUGGACGUGAAGGUGUGGGGCUUUUAUAAUAGAAGAAACCAGGUUUGGGAUGAUAUUUAAGAAUACUUUUUGGGAGAUUCACUUUUGAUGCAAGUUAACCAAAAGAAACUUCCAAUGACUUGCUCGGACGGUGGGCUGCUAAUCAGUCAAUCAUGCGCAUAACAGUGCACUUUACGUUAAGGUCGUAAGGUCACUAUCUAGCUGGAUAAAGUUGAAAUUACUGUCCUCUUUGUGGGAAGCGUAUCUACCGGGGAAAAGCUACAUAAAGACUCUUCUCUUUUUUUUUGGGUUCGUACCACGUAUGAUUAAUUUUCAAGUCUUAAAAUAGGAAAUAAAGGCUGAGGAGUGCAUCAAGCAAACGUCUAUAUGUAUAUAUAUGCUCUAUGUAAAUAGAAUAAGUUAAGAAUUUAUUAUCAUAUCAUAUAGUAUAAUAAUUUUUAUUAAUUUUGAAUAGAGAAUUCAAAUUUAAAUAUUAUUUAAACAAGAAAAUACAUGUACAUACUAUUAAAUCAAAUAUUUAGAUGCAACAUGAAAAUUUUAUAAAUUUAUUAGGUUAUUAUUUUGAUUAUAUAUGUUAGCAAAAUUAUUUUUAUUUUUGAAAAGUAUUUAUGUUUGCAAAAUGUAAGGCACAUCAUGUAUUUAAUUAGCAGUGACGCUGCUUUUGAAAAGAAAAUAUGUUACUAAUGAAAAGCAAAGUCCAUGUAUUUAGGUUAAUGGUAAAUGUGUAUAUUUCUUUAUUCAAUUUUUUUUUUCCAAUCUCCCCUUUUCCAAAUAUAAAAAAAUUUGCCAAACAUUUUGUAAAUUUUUAAUCUUUCAUGUAUUAUUGGCUUGAAAACUAUAUGAAAUAAGAUUAAGAGUAAUGAAAGUUGAAUCUUACAUACUAUAAUCUUAUAGUACAGAAAGGACAAUAACUAAUAAAUUAGCUUCAAAAUAUAAAAAAAAAUAAUUAAAAAAAUAGUAAUAUAAUAAAUAGUGUUUGUGUUAUAUUUUUCUUAACAAAUUUUAAAAAUUAUUAAACAAUUUAAUUUUAGUGUAGUGAUCAGCAGCGAAUUUAGGAUUUUACAUAAAAAGUAAUUAAAAAAUAAUCAUAAAACAUUAUGAAUUCAUAUAUCUCAAAUUAUAUAUAUAUAUAUAUAAUAAAAAAAUUAAAAUUGAGAGAUAGUAACGGCCAAGACUAUCAUCACUUUCAGGUUUAAUUAGUCAAGAAUGUUGAAGAUCCUUAAUUUCCUUCGCUCCUUAUUUGUUUGAUUUUCUUUCUAUGACUUGUGUUACGACUUGUGAUAAAACCCAAGGAAAAAUGUCACAUUUACAUUAAUUCUGAAACUUCUUGGAAACAAAUCUUUAAGGACUAGGUUCAUAUACUCUUCGUUAAGGUUUCAUUAGCCUAUUGGUCCUGUAAUGUGAAGUCUAGUGCAUGCAUUUAUAGUUACGUGUUGAGUUGUGAAUUUGACUCUCAUAUAACAAAAGAAAAAGAUGUUUUUGUUUUUCGAUAGAAAGAAAAAGAAGGAAAUGCGGUCUGGGAACUGAAAAUAGGGCUUUUUCGUUAAAUUUGAAAAUUAUUUUCUAUAUCAAGUAGAAUUAUGAGAUAUUUAUUGAGACUUGUCAAUGAUCUAGAAUGACAAAUGUGGUUAAGUGAUUUAAGUUGUGGAUAACAAAAUUACUACACAGGUGAUUCAAAUGAAAACAAAUAAAUCAAUACUAAUUCAAAUUUAAUUUUAAUUAUUAAAAAUUUCUUAAAAGAUGAUUGACAGAUUAGUAUUAUUUAUGUAUAUUGCGAAUUUAACUAUUUAUUAGAUUUUCUUAUAAAUAUGAUUUUUAAAUAUUCUAUUAGUAUGAUGUUUUUCAAAAAUCUUCCUAGAGAUAAUGUUUUAGUUUUAUUAAGCAAUCUUAUGCGAAUUUCAUUCUCAUGUUUUAUUUUGAUAUAAGUACAUUAUUUUUAUUUUCUUUUACUUAAAAAAAAAAAAGAAAAAAUAGGUGUAACCUGUAAAACGAACUGAAGUAUUGAGCGGCGCGAGACACUGUUUGACCCGAUACAAAAUGAUACAACCCGAUAGCCGAAGAAUCGGGUUCUGUUGGGCAGAGGGAUCUCGGCCCAUUUAUAACCAUUACAAGCAGAAUCAGCCCAAUUUCAAUUUGUUGACUUUUCUUUUUUGGAAAAAACAGUUUUUAGGACUUGGUCUUUUGAGAGGAGUCCUGAAACUCAAAUCACUUUUCUUCCAAAUUAGGGGAAAAAACGAAACAACUUUCGGCUAAAAUGGUUCAAUAGUGAACGCAAAAACCUCAUUCAGAUUCAAAGCUUUGGAUUCAACUCACUACAAUGUGAAGCUUGGACUUUGGCUUCAGUUGUAAACAUCAGGUUCCAAAUGGACAAAUACCAAUCUUACUCUAUUGAUAGAAAAGAGAAGAUUUGUAGCGUUGGUCAGUUGGUCAGAUACUAAGAAAGAGAAGGAUUUGACAAAAGAAACAGAGCAGAAGUGAGGCCGCAAAAUCCCCGUCGAUCUUAGUGUGACUUUGUAAAUCAGAGUCCAUUUUCUGUGGGCCACAGGCUAUUUUAUCUUUUCUGUCUGUUGAUUUUUCUCAUGGAUAGGUGGGCAGGAUAGAGACAUAGCUUGGCUGCUAGUUAUGCUGCUUAUCCUUAGCCAGCAUAAAAAGUGCUGGCAUCAACCAUCAUUUUAUGAUCUACUAAAAACUUCCACUGUCUUACUGAUCCAUCUAUGCCGUACAAAGAUUUGUCUUUUAAAAGCAUAUUGACUCAUCAACUACUUUCUGCACCAUACUUGCUUUCCCGACUUCAAUGCUAUCCAGAGUUGGUCCGGAGUUAGGACUGCUUCAGCUGUGGGUUCUUUAUUUGGUUAAUUCUGGAUCCAGAUAUUGAAACUGGCUUUUGGGCUUGCUCUAACUUCCAAACUACUAAUAUUUUCCAAUGAAAUUUACACUUGACCUGAUAGCCUGGCAUAAAAAAUGGUAUGCAUUAGCCAUUUGGCCAUCAACUCUAACUAGUGUUCAGGACGCAAAGAAGUUACCUGAAGUAAUGAGCCUUGAGAGGUUUAACCACAGGAAGACCCAUUUUUUUUCUCUGCCAGCAGUCCCAGAGCAAUAUUUAUUAAUAGUGAGCAGAUGUGUUCUUUCUUCUACUUUUUCCAUCCCAAGAAUCCUACUAACUGCCUUUCUUAUCAGUGACAACAGACGAUGCCAUGCUGGAUGCUGCCUCAUAAUAUUUGCAAUUCCUAAGGAGAUUUCUUUGUGCACUAGCUUAACUAGAUGUCCAUGGCCAGGCCUUUGUUAAACACCUUGACACACAAAAGCAAAGUUAAAACAUAGCCACAAAUUUCCAGGAGCCGGUAAAUAAAAAAUAAUUCCUGAUAGAAAAAGAAUGAACUGGCAAUUGAAGCGUAUGGAUCAUCUUCAUAGCAUUUUUAAUUUUUGGGAAGCAGACUCAUACAUCGAUAUGGUGUAGUUCACAAAAUGGCAACUAGGCACCAGGUUGAGUUGGCUGUUGAUUAAUUAACAUAGAACUAAUGCAUACAGUGAGUAGUAGAAUGAUAUUGAAUGGGUGCUGAAACAAUGCAUUGUAGUUGCCGAAAAAGAGCAAGAUAUUAACCUCGUAAAUCACCAAAUGAGCUGCAAUUUACUAGCAUGAAAAAAAAAUUAUCCUUAUUAUUAUUACAUAUUAGAAGAAAAUAAAAAUAAUAAUAAUAACACAACACUAUAUGUGAAUACUAUUCAUUUUUCUUCUUUUGUAUAACAUCGGGGAAAGAAAUAUUAAAAGAAUGCUCUAACAGUACCCACACUGUUGACCCCAACAAAGUAUUCCUUCACUGGAUCAUCUUUCAGGUCACGAGGAAUAAAGACUCUUCUGACCUCUGAAAACUAGCCUUUAGUCCACCAUCUAAUACCAGACUGUUGAAGCUGUGACUCUGAGGAAGUACAAUCUUCAGAUCAAACAACUGAAGGCUAGUGGCUUAGUGUUGCAAAUCUAUUGCGCAAGUUUAUGCAUUGCGGUGAACCUAGUUGCAUAGUUCCAAAAUCAGCUGACCUCUGGCUGUAACAUAGGGAAGAAAGUCCAGCUAUUACCAGGCCUAGCCUCCUUUCCAGCAACCUUUUCAUUGGCCCACCACUCGGACCUGAUGGUGGGCUUAUCAGAAGCUUCUCCUUUUGUAUUGUCGAAGUUGAAUUCUUUAAUUGAACCAAGUGUAACAGAGCGAUGCUUUUGAUAACUAUGCUCCUCUUCAGCUUCUCCUGAUGCUUUUUCAACUGUUUCAUUGGAAGUUUCCCUAAUAAACAACUCACAAGAACUUUCUAGAUCUUUUUUUAUUCCAUCUCUUUCUUUUCUGCCCUCUGCCACCAAGUCCUUUGGAUAUUCUGACACGGCUCUACUUGGAAGCAAUGACUUGCUUUCGAGACAGGGUGCAACAUCUUCACCACUUAACUCAAAGGAUACUCUGUGAUCAACUAUCGUUUCAUCAUUUUUAGGUCCAUUUGCUGGGUUAGUAAGCAAUGCUACCUCAGAAAUCUGACUCCCUACAAGAAAACCAUCUCGUGAGGCAGGACCCAAACCAUCAGGUGUCAAUGAUCCCGAGCCCAACCUUGAACCCAACCCCAUACCAUCUGGAGUCACAGAUCC